rnacentral:rRNA from 1 species
UGCCGGCGACCGGCGCACGGGUGAGUAACACGUAUGCAACCUGCCCGUCUCAGGGGGAUAAUCGUCGGAAACGGCGUCUAAUACCCCGUAUGAAGCUGGACGGCAUCGUCUGGUUUUGAAAGAAUAUCGGAGACGGAUGGGCAUGCGGCGCAUUAGCUAGUUGGCGGGGUAACGGCCCACCAAGGCGACGAUGCGUAGGGGUUCUGAGAGGAAGGUCCCCCACACUGGUACUGAGACACGGACCAGACUCCUACGGGAGGCAGCAG